GCAAAAAGUACCAACACAAGUAAUGUUUUAUUAAUGCUUUUAUGUUGAAUUAAUGGAGUCUCUCACCACUCACUGUCGAAGAAGGGACUCGUUAUUGACACGGUUUCGAACUGGACUUUGUUGUAUUGCAGUAAAACAAGUCAUGGCCUUUGCACAAACCAUUUUUAACUCCACAGAGGAAGAAUGAGCAGUGAACCACAGAUCCUCCGCUGAUUACCACCUUGCUGUGAUAGUGACAGAGGCCUCUCCAUCUUCUGCCAUCAGAGCUUGUCCUCCUCGACUGCCCUGUAUGGGAUUUGGGGUUGGAGC